rnacentral:tRNA from 1 species
GCGGGUGUAGUUCAUUGGUAGAACACCAGCCUUCCAAGCUGGUUAGGUGGGUUCGAUUCCCAUCACCCGCUCCA